ensembl:lncRNA
CUCCGUCGCCCCGCACUGCACAUCUGAUGGAAGAGGCGCGGCGGAGGCAGCCCCGGGUGGUUCUCACCCGCCUGGCACUGCCGACCCCCCUGGCUGCCCCCGCACCUCUGUUGCCCCGCGCUGCACGUCUGAUCCAAGAGGUGCAGCGGAGGCAGCCCCGGGUGGUUCUCACCCGCCUGGCACUGCCGACCCCCCUGGCUGCCCCCGCACCUCUGUUGCCCCGCACUGCACGUCUGAUCCAAGAGGUGCAGCGGAGGCAGCCCCGGGUGGUUCUCACCCGCCUGGCACUGCCGACCCCCCUGGCUGCCCCCGCACCUCUGUUGCCCCGCGCUGCACGUCUGAUCCAAGAGGUGCAGCGGAGGCAGCCCCGGGUGGUUCUCACCCGCCUGGCACUGCCACCCGGAUGCAUCUCCUGCCGGCUGGCAGACGUGCACCACGAGGACAGCACCGAGCCAGCCAAGUGCCCAGCGCCCGCCUGCACCACCACUAACAGCAAGAGCACCGGGCACGAGCAGCACACUGGCAGCGGCCCAGCCACAAAGAGGAAGCUGCCGCGCUGCCACGAUGGCCCAGGCCACAAACACCGGCGCUAGGCCAAGCUGGCUGUGUCAGCACGGUGGGCGGGCAGCAGGAGGACUGUGCCCUGAUGGGGUGCCCAUCACAGCCCAAC